AUUGAACGCUGGCGGCAUGCCUUACACAUGCAAGUCGAACGGCAGCACGGGGGCAACCCUGGUGGCGAGUGGCGAACGGGUGAGUAAUACAUCGGAACGUGUCCUGUAGCGGGGGAUAACCUCUCGAAAGAGAGGCUAAUACCGCAUACGACCUACGGGUGAAAGAGGGGGAUCGCAAGACCUCUCACUAUAGGAGCGGCCGAUGUCGGAUUAGCUAGUUGGUGGGGUAAAAGCCACCAAGGCUACGAUCCGUAGCUGGUCUGAGAGGACGACCAGCCACACUGGAACUGAGACACGGUCCAGACUCCUACGGGAGGCAGCAGGUGGGGUAAUUUUGGACAAGUGGGCGCAAGCCUGACUCCAGCCAUCGCCGCGUGAGUGAAGAA
rnacentral:rRNA from 1 species